AUUGAACGCUGGCGGCAGGCCUAACACAUGCAAGUCGAGCGGAUGAAGGGAGCUUGCUCCUGGAUUCAGCGGCGGACGGGUGAGUAAUGCCUAGGAAUCGGCCUGGUAGUGGGGGAUAACGUCCGGAAACGGGCGCUAAUACCGCAUACGUUCUGAGGGAGAAAGUGGGGGAUCUUCGGAGCUCACGCCAUCAGAUGAGCCCAGGUGGGAUUAGCUAGUUGGUGGGGUAAAGGCCGACCAAGGCGACGAUCCGUAACUGGUCUGAGAGGAUGAUCAGUCACACUGGACCUGAGCCACGGUCCAGACUCCUACGGGAGGCAGCAGUGGGGAAUAUUGGCCAAUGGGCGAAGGCCUGAUCCAGCCAUGCCGCGUGUGUGAAGAAGGUCUUCGGAUUGUAAAGCACUUUAAGUUGGGAGGAAGGGCAGUAAGUUAAUACCUUGCUGUUUUGACGUUACCAACAGAAUAAGCACCGGCUAACUUCGUG
rnacentral:rRNA from 1 species